rnacentral:lncRNA from 1 species
UUCAAAACAUUUUUUAGAUUUUCUCCUGUAUCAUUUAGGUAAUCUUGCCAUACAUCGGUGGAUGUUCAGUGGAUUGAUUUUGUUAGUGCAAAACGAAAUCAAUCACUGAAUUUCAUUGUAUCUUCGAGAUUAUCACUUGUAACCCUUAUGCACAUAAUCAGUGGGGUGAAUAAAAUCUUAAGAACAGUGACAUUGUUACAUGGCUUGAAUUCAUUUUGGUAUUUUCCAGUUCGGUGAAUGAACACAAAAUCCACACUAAACCCAACUAGAACGACACAACCUUAAUUUUGCUGGAGUGGUGAUCCAAUUUGCGGUUGCAUUUCCUUCACACUUUAUCCAUCGAAGAUGAUAAUGAUUUAAUUGGGAGGAGAAACAUUUGAAGUCGUAUAGAAAAGGCUCAUUCUCCCACCUCUUCUUCUUUACCAUAUUCAUUCUAUUAACUAGCUCCUUUCAAUCAGACUCCAAACCAAUCUUUUCCUCCUUGUACUUUUGUGCUAACAUUACUCUUUCCUUGAGAGUCACAACUUCAACUUUCAUAGCAAAAUCAACAAAAGCAACUAAGUCAAUGCCAUCCAGCUCUUUACCUUCCCAAUUUAUGCACGAUCAGACCUACGUACCCGUGCACUAUUAGUUUUGGCAUCAAAAGUUGCAUCAUAGUUGGACUUUAGCUCUCUACAUCCACUAUAAAACAUAAGAUUUUUAUCAAUGGAAAAAUCCAUCCAUAAAGGUUAUAAAUCUGUCAGUAACUCACUUUACCAAUGGAAGUUUUUGUCAAUAUUGAGUCAAUAAUAUCAUGAUUGGUAAAGGAAAAUCCGUUGAAAAAUGAAAACACAGUCAGCAAGUGCGAUCGAUAAAACAUCGAAGCCAUCAAAAUCUUUUUUGCUUAGUAUCAUGUGACAUCCAUCGAUAAGUUUCAUUGAGACAAUACUGAUGGAACUAAGAGUUUUGAAAUGUGUUCAAUUUCAUCAAUAAUGUCCUCUACUCUUUCGGUAAUAAGGUUGAUUCUGUCAAUGAUCUAGAGUCCAUUUCCAUUGGUGACAGCAAAAAUUCAGUCAGUAAUGACAUGAAAUGCAAAAAGAUUUUUUUACAAAAAUUGAAAUUGAUUGGUUCCUAUUGUCAUUUCAAAUGAAAAAGAUAAAUAAAAAUAAUUAAUAAUUUUAAAUAUUACAAAUAUUUAAAAAAAUUAUUAAUAAAAAAGAAUACAAAUUUUAUUAUUUUUAUUGUAAUAAAUAAAUAAAAUAUAAAUAACAUCCAUAUUACCUCAGAGAAUAGCUCUGACUGCAUUACCUCAAAGAAUAUCAUCAGUCUCUCCAUUACCUCUGAUUGCAAGACAAUCAAUAACAUCCAUAUUACAACACAAUAUAUAUAUAAAUAUAUUAAUGCAAAUUGUGAAAUUCCACUUUGACUAAGUGGAUAAGUUAGAAAAUCCUUAGGUAAGCACAUAGAU